GAGCCGCCGACGGGGCGGGUGGGCUUUGCUGCCGAGCAGGCGGCGCCGUCUUGGGGCCUAGCGGCGAGGCGACCCGCACAGUACUGUAAGAUUGAUGUUAAAGGCAUGGUGUUCACCCCACUUCAUCAGCGUACAUAAGUUAUCUCUUCUUUUGGACCCUUAUUUUAUGCCAUAAUGUAUGUCAUUGAAAGUGCCCGACAGAGACCUCCUAAAAGGAAAUACCUAUCAAGUGGAAGAAAAUCUGUAUUUCAAAAACUUUAUGACUUGUAUAUUGAAGAAUGUGAAAAAGAACCUGAAGUUAAGAUUCCGAGACCAUUCGACUGCCCUAUGAAGAAGGAGAGUUGCUUGAAUAUUUGGAUGCAGAAGAAUUACCUCCUAUUUUGGUUGAUCUCCUAGAAAAAUCUCAGGUUAAUAUUUUUCAUUGCGGAUGUGUCAUAGCAGAAAUACGUGACUACAGGCAGUCCAGUAACAUGAAAUCUCCUGGUUACCAAAGUCGGCACAUUCUCUUACGUCCAACAAUGCAGACUUUAAUUUGUGAUGUACAUUCAAUAACAAGUGAUAACCACAAAUGGACCCAGGUUAGUUGUUUUGUUUUUUAAUCUCAAACAGGCAAAAUAUAGGAUGAAAAAAAAUUAUCAUUAAGCAAAAGUGAUUUUCUGCUUAUUUUUAUUCAAUAAUUAAGUUUGAUGCUUUAUGUGAAAAGCUGGUAUUCCUUUAUAAGAUCUAGAAGUUAAGGGUCUCUUUAUAUGUGUAGUAAUCCCUCAAGUUGCCUAAGAUCAUUUUAAGGUCAAGCUGGCCUAAUAUAUUCAAUGAGAUAAAACUUAGUUCUUUAUCUCCUCUCAAACAGAAGAAAAAUGUUUUGUUUUUACCAUGGUUACAAAUAGAUACUGGUUUUUUUUUUCAAAUAAUUCAAGUUUCUAAACCCUAGCCUAGCCUAUCUUUCUUUGCCAUUUAUACUGGUUGCCUUGAAAUGAGGGGAACUCUCUUACCCCUGAGAAUAACCAGUUAACCCCUCCAGUUCUGGCUCAGUGUUAUAUGAGGGGACUUCAGAAAGUUUGUGGAAAACUGGAAUUAAAAGAUAAUAAUAAAAAAUAUAAACUUUUCUUCUCAAUAUAAGCUCCAUCAAGUUCAAGAUGCUUGUAAAUGAUAUCAACCAUUUAUUUAGUCCACCCCUGAAGAACUGAGGGUCCUGGGAACUGAACCAUAUCAAUGCAAUCUUUUCUACAUUAUUAACUGAAGAAAAAUGGGUACUUUUUAAACUUUUUUUUUUUAAGAUUAGGAAACAAAAAGAAGUCAGAAGGAGCCAAAUCUGGACUGUAAGGUGCAUACCUAAUGGUUUCCCAUCAAAACUCUUACAAAAUUUCUCUUUUUUGAUGAGAGGAAUGAGUAGAGGCAUUGUGGUGCAGAAGUCUCUAGUGAAGCUUUCCCAGGCAUUUUUCUGCCGAAGCUUUGGCUAACUUUCUCAAAACACUCAUAAUAAGCACGUUAUCAUUCUUUGUUCCUUCAGAAAGUCAACAAGCAAAAUGUCUUGAGCAUCCCAGAAAACUGUUUCCAUGAUCUUUGCUCUUCAUCUGUCUGCUUUUGCUUUGACUGAAUCACUUCUGCCUCUUGGUGGCCAUUGCCUUAAUUGUGCUUUACUAUCUUCAGGAUUAUACUGGAAAGAAUGCUUUAGUAUCUUGGUCCUACUUGUUGAAAAUUUCUAUUGAAAGCUCUGCUUUUGCAGCUGAUCGGGAUGCAGUGGUUUUGGUACCCAUCGAGUGGAAAGUUUACUCAACUUUAAUUUUUCAGUCAAAAUUAUUCAGGCUGAACCAGUUGAGAGGCCUAUAGUGUUGGCAAUUGUUUCUGCUGUUAAUCAUUGGUCCUCUUCAGUUAGGUUACAAACAAAAUGAAUUUUUUUCCUCGUAAAUUGAUGUGGAAGAUCUGCUGCUGCAGGCUUCGUCUUCAACAUAGUCUUGUCCCUUCUUAAAACAAGUUACCCAUUUGUAAACUGCUGCUUUCUUUGAGGCAUUCUUCUCAUAAACUUUUCAAAAAGCAUCAGUGAUUUCACAAUUCUUCCACUCAAGCUUCACCAUCAAUUUGAUGUUUGUUCUUGCUUCAGUUUUAGCAGAAUUCCUGUUGCUCUGGUAAAGGCUGUUUUCAAACUGAUGUCUUAUCCUUCUUAGUGUUUCAAACUAGGUUCUGUUCAGACAUGUUAUAACAGCUUAGUACAUGUUUAUUUUGGUGCAAAAAGUUUUGAAACCUAUGUAUAGUUUUUUCUUAAUACUCAUUUUUCAUAAACUUUUUAAAGACCCCUUGUAUAUGAGAUGUCCACUCACAAAAGUGUUCAGUUGCCUGACUAUAGUGAGGAAUAAUUACUAAGUCAAAAGAAAAUAUCAGUAAUGGUAGUUAUCCUUUCUGUGACAUGUGAUUAUAAACUAAGCUUCAGUUCAUCAGUAACUACCAAGUAUUGUGUUUUGGUUUGGGCUAUAAUGUUGUCAUCUACAAAAAGAUUAAAAGCUAUUAAAAGAAUAUUAGAAAACAGAAAAACUCAUUGGUUACCAUCAGAGUUUGCUAGGGCAUCAGAUUCUUACUCUGAAGAUUGAUAAAGGAGAGAAUAUAAUAUUUAUCCUGCCCUUCUUGUUAUGAACUGUAUUUUAGGCAGCCAAGUAACUGAGGGAAAAUUCUUAGGAAAAUUUCCAGCUAAUAGGUGCAAAAGAAAUGAUAGACUUUUAAAAAAUAAAAGUUUGAAAGUCUUAAUGAAGUAGUGAAUCUAGACAGCAGUAUUUCUUGGAUGUGAAAACCAUUAGAUGAUAGGUUAAUGGGAAAUUUUAUAAUGUAGAAAUCUGAUCAAACCCACUGAUUGAAGAUGAGACAGUCAAUUAUUGUGUACCUCCUGGUUUGAUGCAAGAGACAGUACACAACAGUAGUAAUAGUACCAAUAAAGAACUCUUGUCCAAAAAAAAAAAAAA
rnacentral:lncRNA from 1 species